CGUUGAAGGCCUUAUCUGUUACAGGGUUCAGAAAUAGAUAAGACCAGUGGCCUCAUGACUUCCCUUAUCACCCUACAGAGCAUCUUCUAACACGAUGAAAGCUAGCCAGUAAGGAGAAUUUCCUGAUCAGUUUAAGAUUGAUGUCUCUGUAUCCUGAAACCAAACUGUGUGGUAUCUUUAACAAUAGGGUUUCACCAUCUAGUUAUGGUGGGCAAAAGCAAUGGCAAUAGUCUGUCCUGAUCCAUAAGAGGGAAUUCAUUCCUGGUACUAUAAACCUAAAUAUGCCCAAAACUCAUGGCUAGGAACAUCAUAAGCCCUAGGGAAGAAACUAUUUGUAUUGUUUAUCUAAAGUACAACAUGGUAUUGUCAAACUCCUUUCUAAAUAUUUGUUUCUAUACUCAGCCAUUUUUUCUAUACUCAGCCAUUUUUGCUACUUCUAAGCAAUAGGCAGUGGUUAAUACAGAGACACUUUACUAUUCAAAGUGAUAAAAAUAUUAAGCAAAAAGUGUGUGCUAAGCUGACAAUAUGACAGUUAUAUCAAUCCUUUCCCCUUCAAAGCUCAGGGAACAUUGAGGAAAGCCAGAAAAAUGGAAGAGCCAGAAUCCAGAAUAGUGGGCAGAAUUCAUGGCAAGGUUGUGUUUUACAUACAACAUUUCCAUUGCAUAUUUGAACUCACAGCACCUGUGGCUACCCACACAAGAUUGGUGCAAGAUAAAGUGGGUUAAAAAUUUCAGCUUAAAUGGUCUGCUAAAAGAAGCUGCUAUUGGCAAUAGUUGGGGGGGCAUAGUCACUUUUCUUUAGCAGUGUAGAGACUGGUAGAUUCCUCAUGCCCUUAUGGAUGGCCUAAUACCUGUAUUCAUAUGAAUGGCACUAAUUGGACUCUCUGAGGUUAAUUUAUUAAUUAGAAUGAGAUCUGUGCAAGGAAGCAGGAACAUCAUUACCCUUAAUCCACUACAGCCUAGAAUAUAGCUAAUUAUCAGAGUAUCAUUAUUUUUUAAUUCUAUAGUGUCUAAGAAGAAAAGCAUACAUUAAAGGCAUUGACUGGCAUGGAAGAUCUGAAUGAGAUUUCUAAAAUAGUCACACCUUUCUGAUGAAUUUUUAAUAGUUUAGAGGAAUCGAAAUAUUUUAUUCUCUUUACUCAAACAUAAUAGUCUAUCAUCGGUCAUUACUAUGUAAAAGUCUAUUUGUAGGGUAAGUUUGACCCUAAAAUAGCUUAGAAGGAAGAUUUAUAUGUGCAGAGGCAAAGCCCUUUUGCCGUUGAACUAUUACAAUUAGCAUGCUAUCAAGCACAUAAUUUACCAAUCAGUUUACCAUACACUGUAGACAGGAUCUUUGAUUGAUGGUCCAUGUAGAUUGGUCUAUUAAGACUUAGUUCACUGGGAUAAGUUCCAUAGUAGAAAGAUGUGCAAAUAUUGAGGUUUCAUGGAGUUUGCUGAGCCCAGAGCAGUUAUGAACUACAAAGGGAUAACCUCAUUCAAGGGGAGACAGAAGGACACAGACACGGGAUGUGGCAGACACUGUUAACUGGUCAGAUGCACCAUACAAAAAGUCAUUUAGCAUCAAAAUUUUUUAACCAAAGUAGAAUCAUUUCUUAAGGUGGGGUAGUUGCUAAGCCAGAACUAGCCACUAUGAGAAGUGAUAUUGGCUUCCCAUUUAUACAAUCACAUUAAUUAUAAAGACUAUUACACUUAACUUAAAAUGGGAUCUAUUUAAAGAAAAAAAAGAAAACUUUGACAUUUUUAUUUGUUCCAUAAAUUUAAAAGAAUGUGUUUGAGAUAAAUGAAACCCAAG
rnacentral:lncRNA from 1 species